AUACCAUGCUAAUGACUUUCUAGAGUAUCUAAUUGAGGUGCUUAUCAUAUUUAUUAUGUGGCUAAGUUAUGAUCAGAAUAAUUAUCUUUGUCACUAUUCAUUACUUCAUAUAUCUUUUAUGUGACACUUACCCCUGUAUGAAAGAGUUAGAUAUAAUGUUCUCAAUUAUACAUGCAAUGAUAGAUACUCAAAUCUCAUAUUCUAUUCUGUAAUCAAUAUUGAUGAUUGUUAGUCCCGUCCCAGUGGUAAAAAUAUAAAUAACGAUACCUGGAAUACUUCCCGGUUAAAAUGCUAC
rnacentral:lncRNA from 1 species